rnacentral:rRNA from 1 species
GACGAACGCUGGCGGCGUGCUUAACACAUGCAAGUCGAGCGGUAAGGCCCUUCGGGGUACACGAGCGGCGAACGGGUGAGUAACACGUGGGUGACCUGCCCUUCACUCUGGGAUAAGCCUGGGAAACUGGGUCUAAUACCGGAUAUGACCUGCUCUCGCAUGGGGGUUGGUGGAAAGUCAGUAUUGUAGUGAUGCUGGCGGUGGGGGAUGGGCCCGCGGUCUAUCAGCUUGUU